CCGCAACAUUAAGAGAGGGCUGACGCCCCGCCAACCUGCAGCUGUGCAAGGUGGUACCCCGAAAGGGAAUGUGGCCUUAAGGCAACGACAGCGUCAGCCUC
ncrna:unclassified sequences SAM-I/IV variant riboswitch